rnacentral:rRNA from 1 species
GACGAACGCUGGCGGCGUGCUUAACACAUGCAAGUCGAACGGAAAGGCCCUGCUUGCAGGGUACUCGAGUGGCGAACGGGUGAGUAACACGUGGGUGAUCUGCCCUGCACUUCGGGAUAAGCCUGGGAAACUGGGUCUAAUACCGGAUAGGAGCCAUUUUUAGUGUGAUGGUUGGAAAGUUUUUUCGGUGUAGGAUGAGCUCGCGGCCUAUCAGCUUGUUGGUGGGGUAAUGGCCUACCAAGGCGGCGACGGGUAGCCGGCCUGAGAGGGUGGACGGCCACAUUGGGACUGGGAUACGGCCCAGACUCCUACGGGAGGCAGCAGUGGGGAAUAUUGCACAAUGGGCGCAAGCCUGAUGCAGCGACGCCGCGGGGGGGAUGACGGCCUUCGGGUUGUAAACUCCUUUCGCUAGGGACGAAGCUUUUUGUGACGGUACCUAGAUAAGAAGCACCGGCUAACUACGUG